GAAAAGAAACCAACAGGGAUUGCCCUAGUAACGGCGAGUGAAGCGGCAACAGCUCAAAUUUGAAAUCUGGCUUCGGCCCGAGUUGUAAUUUGCAGAGGAUGUUUUUGGCGCGGUGCCUUCCGAGUUCCCUGGAACGGGACGCCACAGAGGGUGAGAGCCCCGUAUGGUUGGACACUAAGCCUGUGUAAAACUCCUUCGACGAGUCGAGUAGUUUGGGAAUGCUGCUCUAAAUGGGAGGUAAAUCUCUUCUAAAGCUAAAUACCGGCCAGAGACCGAUAGCGCACAAGUAGAGUGAUCGAAAGAUGAAAAGCACCUUGAAAAGGGGGUUAAACAGUACGUGAAAUUGUUGAAAGGGAAGCGCUUAUGACCAGACUUGUGCCGUGCGGCUCAUCCGGGGUUCUCCCCGGUGCACUCCGCACGGCUCAGGCCAGCAUCGGUUUUCGUUGGGGGAUAAGAACUGUAGGAACGUGGCCCCUUUCGGGGGGUGUUAUAGCCUAUGGUACGAUACCCUGGCGGGGACCGAGGACCGCGCUUCGGCAAGGAUGCUGGCGUAAUGGU
rnacentral:rRNA from 1 species